rnacentral:rRNA from 1 species
CAGCAGCCGCGGGAAUACAGAGAAUGCAAGCGUUAUCCGGAAUGAUUGGGCGUAAAGGGCUCGCAGGCGGUUUCUUAAGUCUGAUGUGAAAGCCCCCGGCUCAACCGGGGAGGGUCAUUGGAAACUGGGAAACUUGAGUGCAGAAGAGGAGAGUGGAAUUCCACGUGUAGCGGUGAAAUGCGUAGAGAUGUGGAGGAACACCAGUGGCGAAGGCGACUCUCUGGUCUGUAACUGACGCUGAGGAGCGAAAGCGUGGGGAGCGAACAGGAUUAGAUACCCCUGUAGUCCCUGUCUCUUAUAC